AGCAGCCGCGGUAAUUCCAGCUCCAAUAGCGUAUAUUAAAGUUGCUGCAGUUAAAAGCUCGUAGUUGAAUUUCGGGACUAAUAUGUCGGUCGUGCCUCGGUACGUACUGGCUUAUUGGUUUCUCCUUUCUGAAGAACCAUGAUGUCAUUUAUUUGGUGUCGUGGGGAAUCAGGACUGUUACUUUGAAAAAUUAGAGUGUUUAAAGCAGGCUCACGCUUGAAUACAUUAGCAUGGAAUAAUGAAAUAGGACGUUUGAUUCUAUUUUGUUGGUUUCUAGGAUCGACGUAAUGAUUAAUAGGGAUAGUUGGGGGCAUUAGUAUUCAAUUGUCAGAGGUGAAAUUCUUGGAUUUAUUGAAGACUAACUACUGCGAAAGCAUUUGCCAAGGAUGUUUUCAUUAAUCAAGAACGAAAGUUAGGGGAUCGAAGACGAUCAGAUACCGUCGUAGUCUUAACCACAAACUAUGCCGACUAGGGAUCGGAUGAUGUUUAAUUUUUUAAUGACUCAUUCGGCGCCUUAACC
rnacentral:misc_RNA from 1 species